UUGUGAGAAUAUUUGCUGAGUGUGAAAGAAACUUCUUAGUGGAAUUUUAAGUGAUUCUAAAUGAAGCCUAAGUGGUCUCAUUAUGGAUCUUUGUGUCUUGGUGGCUUUGUGGUUUUUCUGCAACCAUGAGGGUUGUCGGUCGGUGGUGGCACUUGGGCAUUCAGUUGCCAGAUCUGGCUCCUAAGCCGGUUAUCCACUUUAGCUCCUGGGAAAGGCCUAAAAAGGAUGAAUUUUGUAUACAACUGUCAAAGCUUGAUUCAUAUGAUGAAGUUGUUAAUAAAGUAGCGAACCAACUCGGAGUUAAUGGUCUGUCCAAACUACGGCUUACAUCACACAAUAUCUAUUCUCAGCGACCAAAAGCUCAUCCUAUAAGAUAUUGAGGAGCAGAAAACUUGUUAGAGAUGCUGCUGCAUUACGACCAACUUUCUGGUAUUCUGCACUUUGAUGUAGGGGAUAUACCUCUGCCAGAAUUGCAAGAGUUGAGAACCCACAAACUAGCUUUCAGCUAUGCGGCAAACUCUGAACUGGAAACUCACAGUAUUAGGCUGCCAAAAGAAAGCACUGUGGGUGAUGUGCUUGCGCAUCUCAAGGACA